rnacentral:misc_RNA from 1 species
GAUGAAGAACGCAGUGAAAUGCGAUAAGUAAUGUGAAUUGCAGAAUUCAGUGAAUCAUCGAAUCUUUGAACGCAUAUUGCGCCCCUUGGUUAUUCCGGGAGGCACACCUGUUCGAGCGUCAUUUCACCACUCAAGCCUCGCUUGGUAUUGGGCAACGCGGUCCGCCGCGUGCCUCAAAUCGACCGGCUGGGUCUUCUGUCCCCUAAGCGUUGUGGAAACUAUUCGCUAAAGGGUGUUCGGGAGGCUACGCCGUAAAACAACCCCAUUUCUAAGGUUGACCUCGGAUCAGGUAGGGAUACCCGCUGAACUUAAGCAUAUCAAUAAGCGGAGGA